rnacentral:rRNA from 1 species
ACGGGUGAGUAAUGCCUAGGAAUCUGCCUGGUAGUGGGGGAUAACGCUCGGAAACGGACGCUAAUACCGCAUACGUCCUACGGGAGAAAGCAGGGGACCUUCGGGCCUUGCGCUAUCAGAUGAGCCUAGGUCGGAUUAGCUAGUUGGUGAGGUAAUGGCUCACCAAGGCGACGAUCCGUAACUGGUCUGAGAGGAUGAUCAGUCACACUGGAACUGAGACACGGUCCAGACUCCUACGGGAGGCAGCAGUGGGGAAUAUUGGACAAUGGGCGAAAGCCUGAUCCAGCCAUGCCGCGUGUGUGAAGAAGGUCUUCGGAUUGUAAAGCACUUUAAGUUGGGAGGAAGGGCAGUAAAUUAAUACUUUGCUGUUUUGACGUUACCGACAGAAUAAGCACCGGCUAACUCUGUGCCAGCAGCCGCGGUAAUACAGAGGGUGCAAGCGUUAAUCGGAAUUACUGGGCGUAAAGCGCGCGUAGGUGGUUUGUUAAGUUGGAUGUGAAAUCCCCGGGCUCAACCUGGGAACUGCAUUCAAAACUGACAAGCUAGAGUAUGGUAGAGGGUGGUGGAAUUUCCUGUGUAGCGGUG